GUUGAUCAAGAAGAGAGAUGGCAUUUAUGAUGGUCUAACAAAUGGUCUUUUUUUUCUUAUUGACUAAAGCUUCCUCUGUUCUUAAAUUUCGGUGAGACAAGUUAUUUCUGAACAAGUAGCUGCGGAUAAUGGUGGAUGCAUCCUCAAACGAAGAUCAACGGUUCAGCAGGUGCAAUCAGCCGAUAGCGCAAGCUCUCAAAAGUUCUUCAUCCCACGGUGACAAGUGUGAAUCUCGA
rnacentral:lncRNA from 1 species